rnacentral:rRNA from 1 species
GUUGUAUAGUCAAGUAAUUAAGUGCAUGUGGUGGAUGCCUUGGCAGUCAGAGGCGAUGAAAGACGUGAUAGCCUGCGAAAAGCUCCGGGGAGGCGGCAAAUAUCCUUUGAUCCGGAGAUGUCUGAAUGGGGGAACCCACCUACUUUAAGGUAGGUAUUGCAACAUGAAUACAUAGUGUUGCAAGGCGAACGAGGGGAAGUGAAACAUCUCAGUACCCUUAGGAAAAGAAAUCAAUUGAGAUUCCCUCAGUAGCGGCGAGCGAACGGGGAUCAGCCCAUUAAGUUAUGUGUGUUUUAGUGGAACGCUCUGGGAAGUGCGAACGUAGAGGGUGAUAUUCCCGUACACGAAAGGGCACACAUAAUGAUGACGAGUAGGGCGAGGCACGUGAAACCUUGUCUGAAUAUGGGGGGACCAUCCUCCAAGGCUAAAUACUCCUGACUGACCGAUAGUGAACCAGUACCGUGAGGGAAAGGCGAAAAGAACCCCUGUGAGGGGAGUGAAAUAGAUCCUGAAACCGCAUGCAUACAAGCAGUGGGAGCACCUUCGUGGUGUGACUGCGUACCUUUUGUAUAAUGGGUCAGCGACUUAUAUUCAGUAGCAAGGUUAACCGUAUAGGGGAGCCGUAGAGAAAUCGAGUCUUAAUAGGGCGUUUAGUUGCUGGGUAUAGACCCGAAACCAGGCGAUCUAUCCAUGAGCAGGUUGAAGGUUGGGUAACACUAACUGGAGGACCGAACCCACUGUCGUUGAAAAGCCAGGGGAUGACUUGUGGAUAGGGGUGAAAGGCUAAUCAAGCCUGGUGAUAGCUGGUUCUCCCCGAAAGCUAUUUAGGUAGCGCCUCGGACGAAUACCAUAGGGGGUAGAGCACUGUUUCGGCUAGGGGGUCAUCCCGACUUACCAAACCGAUGCAAACUCCGAAUACCUAUGAGUACUAUCCGGGAGACAGACUGCGGGUGCUAACGUCCGUAGUCAAGAGGAAAACAAUCCAGACCGCCAGCUAAGGCCCCAAAAUCAUAGUUAAGUGGGAAACGAUGUGGGAAGGCAUAGACAGCUAGGAGGUUGGCUUANNNNNNNNGAAGCAGCCACCCUUUAAAGAAAGCGUAAUAGCUCACUAGUCGAGUCGGCCUGCGCGGAAGAUGUAACGGGGCUAAAACUAUGUGCCGAAGCUGCGGAUGUAUACUUUGUAUACGUGGUAGGGGAGCGUUCUGUAAGCCGAUGAAGGUGUGUUGAGAAGCNNNNNNNNAUGCUGGAGGUAUCAGAAGUGCGAAUGCUGACGUGAGUAACGACAAAACGGGUGAAAAACCCGUUCGCCGAAAGACCAAGGGUUCCAGUCCAACGUUAAUCGGGGCUGGGUGAGUCGACCCCUAAGGCGAGGCCGAAAGGCGUAGUCGAUGGGAAAAUGGUUAAUAUUCCAUUACUUCUGUGUAAUGCGAUGAGAGGACGGAGAAGGCUAAAUCAGCCUGGCGUUGGUUGUCCAGGUGAAAGGAUGUAGGCAUGUAUCUUAGGCAAAUCCGGGGUACUCUAUGCUGAGAUCUGAUAGCAAGCUGUACUUGUACAGCGAAGUGGUUGAUGCCAUGCUUCCAGGAAAAGUCUCUAAGCUUCAGUUACACAGGAAUCGUACCCGAAACCGACACAGGUGGUCAGGUCGAGUAGACCAAGGCGCUUGAGAGAACUCUGCUGAAGGAACUAGGCAAAAUGGUACCGUAACUUCGGGAGAAGGUACGCUGUUGUUGGUGAUGGAACUCGCUUCCUGAGCUGACGACAGCCGCAGAAACCAGGCCGCUGCAACUGUUUAUUAAAAACAUAGCACUCUGCAAACACGAAAGUGGACGUAUAGGGUGUGAUGCCUGCCCGGUGCUGGAAGGUUAAUUGAUGGGGUUAGCGUAAGCGAAGCUCUUGAUCGAAGCCCCAGUAAACGGCGGCCGUAACUAUAACGGUCCUAAGGUAGCGAAAUUCCUUGUCGGGUAAGUUCCGACCUGCACGAAUGGCAUAAUGAUGGCGGCGCUGUCUCCAGCAGAGGCUCAGUGAAAUCGAAAUCGCUGUGAAGAUGCAGUGUACCCGCGGCUAGACGGAAAGACCCCGUGAACCUUUACUGCAGCUUGACACUGAACUUUGACCUUACUUGUGUAGGAUAGGUGGGAGGCUUUGAAGCUGGAACGCUAGUUCCAGUGGAGCCGUCCUUGAAAUACCACCCUGGUAAUGUUGAGGUUCUAACUCUGUCCCGUGAUCCGGGACGAGGACCGUGUCUGGUGGGUAGUUUGACUGGGGCGGUCUCCUCCUAAAGAGUAACGGAGGAGUACGAAGGUGCGCUCAGCGUGGUCGGAAAUCACGCGUAGAGUAUAAAGGCAAAAGCGCGCUUAACUGCGAGACCCACAAGUCGAGCAGGUACGAAAGUAGGUCUUAGUGAUCCGGUGGUUCUGUAUGGAAGGGCCAUCGCUCAACGGAUAAAAGGUACUCUGGGGAUAACAGGCUGAUACCGCCCAAGAGUUCAUAUCGACGGCGGUGUUUGGCACCUCGAUGUCGGCUCAUCUCAUCCUGGGGCUGAAGCAGGUCCCAAGGGUAUGGCUGUUCGCCAUUUAAAGAGGUACGCGAGCUGGGUUUAGAACGUCGUGAGACAGUUCGGUCCCUAUCUACCGUGGGCGCUGGAAAUUUGAGAGGAUCUGCUCCUAGUACGAGAGGACCAGAGUGGACGAACCUCUGGUGUACCGGUUGUGACGCCAGUCGCAUCGCCGGGUAGCUAUGUUCGGAAGGGAUAACCGCUGAAAGCAUCUAAGCGGGAAGCCUACCUCAAGAUAAGAUUUCCCUAGGACUUUAUGUCCUCUAAAGAGCCGUUCGAGACUAGGACGUUGAUAGGUUGGAUGUGGAAGCAUAGUGAUAUGUGAAGCUGACCAAUACUAAUUGCUCGUGAGGCUUGACUAUACAACACCCAAGCAGUUG